rnacentral:rRNA from 1 species
CAAUAGCGUAUAUUAAAGUUGUUGCGGUUAAAAAGCUCGUAGUUGGAUUUCUGCUGAGAACGACCGGUCCGCCCUUUGGGUGUGUAUCUGGCUCUUUCUUGGCAUCUUCUUGGUGAACGUUGCUGCACUUGACUGUGUGGAGCGCUACCCAGGACUUUUACUUUGAGGAAAUUAGAGUGUUUCAAGCAGGCAUACGCCUUGAAUACAUUAGCAUGGAAUAAUAAGAUAGGACCUCGGUUCUAUUUUGUUGGUUUCUAGAGCUGAGGUAAUGAUUAAUAGGGAUAGUUGGGGGCAUUCGUAUUUAACUGUCAGAGGCGAAAUUCUUGGAUUUGUUAAAGACGGACUACUGCGAAAGCAUUUGCCAAGGAUGUUUUCAUGGAG